AGUGAACGCUGGCGGUAGGCCUAACACAUGCAAGUCGAACGGCAGCACAGUAAGAGCUUGCUCUUACGGGUGGCGAGUGGCGGACGGGUGAGGAAUACAUCGGAAUCUACUUUUUCGUGGGGGAUAACGUAGGGAAACUUACGCUAAUACCGCAUACGACCUACGGGUGAAAGCAGGGGAUCUUCGGACCUUGCGCGAUUGAAUGAGCCGAUGUCGGAUUAGCUAGUUGGCGGGGUAAAGGCCCACCAAGGCGACGAUCCGUAGCUGGUCUGAGAGGAUGAUCCGCCACACUGGAACUGAGAAACGGUCCAGACUCCUACGGGAGGCAGCCGUGGGGAAUAUUGGACAAUGGGCGCAAGCCUGAUCCAGCCAUACCGCGUGGGUGAAGAAGGCCUUCGGGUUGUAAAGCCCUUUUGUUGGGAAAGAAAAGCAGCAGGUUAAUACCCCGCUGUUCUGACGGUACCCAAAGAAUAAGCACCGGCUAACUUCGUG
rnacentral:rRNA from 1 species